rnacentral:rRNA from 1 species
UAACUUGCGAUAAGCGUAGAUGAGGCAGUAACAGCCACUUGAGUCUACGAUUUCCGAAUGGGGAAACCCACUGGCAUAAGCCAGUAUCAUUGAGUGAAUACAUAGCUCAAUGAAGCGAACCGGGAGAACUGAAACAUCUAAGUACCCCGAGGAAAAGAAAUCAACCGAGAUUCCGAAAGUAGCGGCGAGCGAAAUUGGAUUAGCCCUUAAGCUUUACAUGUGUUAGACGAACGGUCUGGAAAGUCCGACGAUACAGGGUGAUAGUCCCGUAGUUGACGAUGCAUGUUCAGUGAAAUCGAGUAGGGCGGGACACGUGUUAUCCUGUCUGAAUAUGGGGGGACCAUCCUCCAAGGCUAAAUACUCCUGACUGACCGAUAGUGAACCAGUACCGUGAGGGAAAGGCGAAAAGAACCCCUGUGAGGGGAGUGAAAUAGAACCUGAAACCGUGUACGUACAAGCAGUAGGAGCACCUUCGUGGUGUGACUGCGUACCUUUUGUAUAAUGGGUCAGCGACUUAUAUUCAGUGGCAAGGUUAACCAUCUAGGGGAGCCGUAGGGAAACCGAGUCUUAACUGGGCGCCAUAGUCUCUGGAUAUAGACCCGAAACCGAGUGAUCUAGCCAUGGGCAGGUUGAAGGUUGAGUAACAUCAACUGGAGGACCGAACCGACUAAUGUUGAAAAAUUAGCGGAUGACUUGUGGCUAGGGGUGAAAGGCCAAUCAAACUCGGAGAUAGCUGGUUCUCCCCGAAAGCUAUUUAGGUAGCGCCUCGGACGAAUACUACUGGGGGUAGAGCACUGUUAAGGCUAGGGGGUCAUCCCGACUUACCAACCCUUUGCAAACUCCGAAUACCAGUAAGUACUAUCCGGGAGACACACGGCGGGUGCUAACGUCCGUCGUGGAGAGGGAAACAACCCAGACCGCCAGCUAAGGUCCCAAAUUACAGCUAAGUGGGAAACGAUGUGGGAAGGCUUAGACAGCUAGGAUGUUGGCUUAGAAGCAGCCAUCAUUUAAAGAAAGCGUAAUAGCUCACUAGUCGAGUCGGCCUGCGCGGAAGAUGUAACGGGGCUAAGUUGUAAACCGAAGCUGCGGCAAUGUUCUUUGAACAUUGGGUAGGGGAGCGUUCUGUAAGCCGUUGAAGGUGUGUUGUAAAGCAUGCUGGAGGUAUCAGAAGUGCGAAUGCUGACAUGAGUAACGACAAGGGGGGUGAAAAACCUCCCCGCCGGAAGACCAAGGGUUCCUGUCCAACGUUAAUCGGGGCAGGGUAAGUCGACCCCUAAGGCGAGGCCGAAAGGCGUAGUCGAUGGGAAACGGGUUAAUAUUCCCGUACUUCUUACAAUUGCGAUGGGGGGACGGAGAAGGCUAGGUGGGCCUGGCGACGGUUGUCCAGGUUCAAGUGCGUAGGCU